rnacentral:misc_RNA from 1 species
UCAUAAUCGAGUUAAGGAAGGAGCCAAGAUAUACAAGGAGAUGCUUCAAUCUGGUUGCUCUCCCAACUGCCACACAUACACUGUCCUUAUGGAGCAUCUUGCUAAAUCUGGAAAAUUUGAUGGAGUUCUCGAGAUUUUCAGUAAAAUGCAAGAUGCAGGGGUCCAACCAGAUAAAGCUACAUGCAACAUCUUAGUGGGAAAAUGCUGCAAAGCUGGGGAAACACAGGCAAUGAUGAAAAUUCUUCACUACAUGAAGGAGAAUUUUCUUGUUCUGCGUUAUUCUGUCUAUCAAGAGGCUUUCCAGACGUUGAAGAUGGCUG